GAUGAACGCUGGCGGCGUGCCUAAUACAUGCAAGUCGAGCGAACAGACGAGGAGCUUGCUCCUUCGACGUUAGCGGCGGACGGGUGAGUAACACGUAGGUAACCUACCUAUAAGACUGGGAUAACUUCGGGAAACCGGAGCUAAUACCGGAUAAUAUUUCGAACCGCAUGGUUCGAUAGUGAAAGAUGGCUUUGCUAUCACUUAUAGAUGGACCUGCGCCGUAUUAGCUAGUUGGUAAGGUAACGGCUUACCAAGGCAACGAUACGUAGCCGACCUGAGAGGAUGAUCGGCCACACUGGAACUGAGACACGGUCCAGACUCCUACGGGAGGCAGCAGUAGGGAAUCUUCCACAAUGGGCGAAAGCCUGACGGAGCAACGCCGCGUGAGUGAUGAAGGUCUUCGGAUCGUAAAACUCUGUUAUUAGGGAAGAACAAACGUGUAAGUAACUGUGCACGUCUUGACGGUACCUAAUCAGAAAGCCACGGCUAACUACGUG
rnacentral:rRNA from 1 species